rnacentral:rRNA from 1 species
CGGCCCAAACUCCUACGGGAGGCAGCAGUAGGGAAUUUUCGUCAAUGGGGGAAACCCUGAACGAGCAAUGCCGCGUGAGUGAAGAAGGUCUUCGGAUCGUAAAGCUCUGUUGUAAGUGAAGAACGGCUCAUAGAGGAAAUGCUAUGGGAGUGACGGUAGCUUACCAGAAAGCCACGGCUAACUACGUGCCAGCAGCCGCGGUAAUACGUAGGUGGCAAGCGUUAUCCGGAAUCAUUGGGCGUAAAGGGUGCGUAGGUGGCGUACUAAGUCUGUAGUAAAAGGCAAUGGCUCAACCAUUGUAAGCUAUGGAAACUGGUAUGCUGGAGUGCAGAAGAGGGCGAUGGAAUUCCAUGUGUAGCGGUAAAAUGCGUAGAUAUAUGGAGGAACACCAGUGGCGAAGGCGGUCGCCUGGUCUGUAACUGACACUGAGGCACGAAAGCGUGGGGAGCAAAUAGGAUUAGAUACCCUAGUAGUCCACGCCGUAAACGAUGAGAACUAAGUGUUGGAGGAAUUCAGUGCUGCAGUUAACGCAAUAAGUUCUCCGCCUGGGGAGUAUGCACGCAAGUGUGAAACUCAAAGGAAUUGACGGGGGCCCGCACAAGCGGUGGAGUAUGUGGUUUAAUUCGAAGCAACGCGAAGAACCUUACCAGGCCUUGACAUGGAAACAAAUACCCUAGAGAUAGGGGGAUAAUUAUGGAUCACACAGGUGGUGCAUGGUUGUCGUCAGCUCGUGUCGUGAGAUGUUGGGUUAAGUCCCGCAACGAGCGCAACCCUUGUCGCAUGUUACCAGCAUCAAGUUGGGGACUCAUGCGAGACUGCCGGUGACAAACCGGAGGAAGGUGGGGAUGACGUCAAAUCAUCAUGCCCCUUAUGGCCUGGGCUACACACGUACUACAAUGGCGGCCACAAAGAGCAGCGACACAGUGAUGUGAAGCGAAUCUCAUAAAGGUCGUCUCAGUUCGGAUUGAAGUCUGCAACUCGACUUCAUGAAGUCGGAAUCGCUAGUAAUCGCAGAUCAGCAUGCUGCGGUGAAUACGUUCUCGGGCCUUGUACACACCGCCCGUCAAACCAUGGGAGUCAGUAAUACCCGAAGCCGGUGGCAUAACCGUAAGGAGUGAGCCGUCGAAGGUAGGACCGAUGACUGGGGUUAAGUCGUAACAAGGUAUCCCUACGGGAACGUGGGGAUG